rnacentral:rRNA from 1 species
CCCUUAGACGUUCUGGGCCGCACGCGCGCUACACUGACGAAGGCAACGAGCUUUCCUUUACCGAAAGGUACGGGUAAUCUUUUGAAACUUCGUCGUGCUGGGGAUAGAUCCUUGCAAUUUUUGAUCUUAAACGAGGAAUGCCUAGUAAGCGCAAGUCAUCAACUUGCGUUGAUUACGUCCCUGCCCUUUGUACACACCGCCCGUCGCUACUACCGAUUGAAUGGUUUGGUGAGGCCUUCGGAUCCGCGACUCGUUUGUGGAGAAGUUGGACAAACUCAGUCAUUUAGAGGAAGUAAAAGUCGUAACA